UGGGUGAUCUGCCCUGCACUUCGGGAUAAGCCUGGGAAACUGGGUCUAAUACCGGAUAUGACCUUGGGAUGCAUGUCCUGUGGUGGAAAGCUUUUGCGGUGUGGGAUGGGCCCGCGGCCUAUCAGCUUGUUGGUGGGGUUAAGGCCUACCAAGGCGACGACGGGUAGCCGGCCUGAGAGGGUGACCGGCCACACUGGGACUGAGAUACGGCCCAGACUCCGUACGGGAGGCA
rnacentral:rRNA from 1 species